rnacentral:misc_RNA from 1 species
CCCCAAACUGUAGCAAACAGCAUAUAAAACACUGGAGGGAAAAUCAGUUAGUCUCCGCUCUCCUCCGGUGCAGUCCAAAUUCCCAAAGUCUCCGGAAGGAAGAGAUAGAGGGAGGACAUGGGUAAUCCCUCUUUCUCCCUCAGAUUCGCCGUAUUUCUCUCGUUCUCUGUCGCAGCUUCGUCUUCCUCUCAGUUCUAUUUCUUCCAAAAAUCACGCUCACCAUUCCCUUCUUCACCUCCAAUCCCUAAAGCCACACCCUCCGAUUUGCUCUCCGUCUUAGGCCCCGCCAAUCAAUCCUCCAAAAUCAAUCCUGUCGUAUCGCAAGAACUCAUAUCCUGCUUCAAAUUCCUUGUUCCCUUCAUUCCUCCAAACACCAAACCUCAGAAUCAACACUCUUACGCUUGCGCUAAUCGAAAACUCGCAUCAGAACAUAUCAUCCAUGUUAGAAACCUGAGAGAAGAGAAUGAGCUUAUUUGGUGGCCGCCUGAACCAGUUCUGGAGCUGGCUCGCCUUGCCGUUGACUCUGGCAGCGAUCCUGACGCAAUCCAUCGAGUUCUGGAUCCUACGGUCUUACCUAUUCCUGAUGUUGAAGGAUCAAAAGAAAAUCGAUGUGAGCUCACUAGAACGCCAUAUGGGAGGCGUUUCAUAAGUCAGGAGUUGAAUUCUUAUCUCAAAUUUUUAUUUGAAGUGAUUGCUGCUCGAGGUCCCUCGAUUGGGCUGGAUGUUUCAUUGAAUCGCUAUGAUUUCUUUCAUGGUCACCUCUUCCUUGCUACAAAAACAGGAAGGCUUGGUAUAUUGUUUCAUGCUAAAGAAUACCCAGCUUAUGAUAAAGAAGUAUUUCCAUACAAUAUGGGAUAUUGUCAAAAAGGUUCUACUGUAACUUAUGAUGAUUCAAUGAAUUUUCGGAACAUUCUCUGGCUUGCACCUUUUCCAAGCAAGUCCUCUAAAGCUUGGGAGGCACCGGGAGUCCUUGUUGUGCUGGAUGCCCGUCCAGGAGGAAUCAUAUACCGAGAUCUCAUUCCUCAAUAUGUAAAUUUUGCAAGGACCAUAUAUGAAGAUGAUUUUGGAGAUGUUGUUGUUGAUGUCAAUUACUUGAAUGUCGGAGGGACAGUUCCCAGUUAUGAGAUCUUCAUAUGCUGAAUCCUUCAGGUAGGCAGCUCUUCUCUUUUUUGACUUGUUAGAUAGUGGUAUGUUGUACCCCUGCAUUUUUGUCAUUUUUUCCCUGUUCUCUUUAGGUGGUAUAUUUUGUAUGGUCGAAAUACAAGUUUUAAUCCCUGGGACAUUCUCUUGGAGACAUUAUUUAUCUUUUCCAAAAGUUGCAUUACCAGUUCGACUUUGCAUCCGUGCCUAAUUGCAAUCCCCAAGACUAUGAAUACAUGAUAACCAGGUGUUUUCCGCCGGUGAUAAUUAUAUGAUGACCACAGGGUGGGCAAUUGAUAGAAGAACCAAGGAAAAAAAAAUCAGGGUCUGCAUGAAAGAGAUGCAGAAAAUGAUAUUGCAUUUCAAGUGAACAAAAAGCAGCACCGUUGGAAAGCACAGCUGCGUCAAAUUUGUCAAGUAUGCAUUUUAUGCUGAUUACUGAGAUGUGAUUUUAUGUGAUGGAUAUAAAACGGGGGACAAGAAAGCCAUGGUUGACAUGAGCUUAUUAGAAUCUUAGCGCCAUUGGAUUAGCAGGCAUGGAUUAAAGGGUGAUUUACCCUGAGAUCCCCAGGGUUGGCUAUAAUUCAUUAUUUAGUUGGUCUCUGAAUUUUGACAAUUACAUUAAAAGGUCCUUAUAAUUUAAUUCCAUUGACAUCCAUUAAUUUUCUUAUGCUUCUGCCGUUAGUCAGUAUAUAUAUUUAUAUAAAAAGAGAGAGAGAGAGAGUGCAGACCCUAGGGAGCUUAGGGUAAUUCGUCCAUGACUAUAUGAUUUUACUAGAAUGUGGUAGAAGGUUUUCAUCUGUCCACCAUUUCCAAUUAAUUUGUGAGAAGUCGAUACCUAGUUGGCAUCAAGUUGUGUGCAGCUUGGCCAGUGCUAAGUCUAAAUCUGUGACAAUGGUCCACAUAUCAAGUAAACAGAAAUCAGAAUAUCAGAAUGUAUCUUGUCUCUUAUCAACAUCUUCCGUUAUUCAGUCUAUAGAAAAUGAAUGAUUCUUCUACAGACAACUUAAAUGUAAAGCAACAAUUUUCAUGAUUUUGAGUUAUGUUAUUAAUUGAUUGAAAUUGAUUUCAAUUUUACAAAGGGGAGUCAAAAGAUGAUUCAAUUUUAAAAUUUUAUGCAAAU